AUCACCGACUCAGUGGACAUGAGUUUGGGUAAACUCCGGGAGUUGGUGAUGGACAGGGAGGCCUGGCGUGCGGUCCGUGGGGUCCGCAAAGAGUCGGACACUACUGAGCGACUGAACUGAACUGGACACGUUAGACGUCCUGUACACGACGGGACAGGAAACCACCAGAGCGGGAGAGGCGCUGCGACGGGAGCUGGAGGGCGUGUAAACGAGGAUGGUGCCUCAACGUUUUGAAAAACUCCUUAUUUUGCGCAAAAAGUGACACCGUUUAAUGUACCGUUAAGGAGGAAAAAGGGAAAGAGGACAGACCCACUGAGGAGAACGAAGCGAAAUACGCGAGCGUGUGGCAAGAACCCGGAGCGCCAGAAUCACGACACAGAGAACAGACCGGGGUGUGGGAAGUUGCAGCUAGCAGACUUAAGCUUUUAUAUAUGUCGACGGAAUGAGCGGACAACACGGGCCUACUGCUCAGCAGAGACAGCGACAUUUAAUGUCCUGUGAGAAGCCAUCAUGGAAAAGCAUAAAAAGAGAACGUCUGCAUACGGAUAACUGAAUCAGUUUGCUGUAAGGCAGUAAUGAACACAGCGUUGUAAAUCAGCUCUACUUCAACGAGAAAACAAAAAAAGAUUUCGUUUUGUCAUAAAAUACGGAUUUUAUUUCAUCA